rnacentral:rRNA from 1 species
CCUACGGGUGGCAGCAGUGGGGAAUAUUGCACAAUGGGGGAAACCCUGAUGCAGCGACGCCGCGUGAGUGAAGAAGUAUUUCGGUAUGUAAAGCUCUAUCAGCAGGGAAGAAAAUGACGGUACCUGACUAAGAAGCCCCGGCUAACUACGUGCCAGCAGCCGCGGUAAUACGUAGGGGGCAAGCGUUAUCCGGAUUUACUGGGUGUAAAGGGAGCGUAGACGGCGGAACAAGUCAGAAGUGAAAACCCGGGGCUCAACCCUGGGAGUGCUUUUGAAACUGUUUGGCUUGAGUGCAGGAGAGGUAAGCGGAAUUCCUAGUGUAGCGGUGAAAUGCGUAGAUAUUAGGAGGAACACCAGUGGCGAAGGCGGCUUACUGGACUGUAACUGACGUUGAGGCUCGAAAGCGUGGGGAGCAAACAGGAUUAGAUACCCCAGUAGUC